GCACUUUAAGCGAGGAGGAGGCUACUUGGAUUAAUACUCUAGGAUAGUGGACGUUACUCGCAGAAUAAGCACCGGCUAACUCUGUGCCAGCAGCCGCGGUAAUACAGAGGGUGCGAGCGUUAAUCGGAUUUACUGGGCGUAAAGCGUGCGUAGGCGGCUUUUUAAGUCGGAUGUGAAAUCCCUGAGCUUAACUUAGGAAUUGCAUUCGAUACUGGGAAGCUAGAGUAUGGGAGAGGAUGGUAGAAUUCCAGGUGUAGCGGUGAAAUGCGUAGAGAUCUGGAGGAAUACCGAUGGCGAAGGCAGCCAUCUGGCCUAAUACUGACGCUGAGGUACGAAAGCAUGGGGAGCAAACAGGAUUAGAUACCCUGGUAGUCCAUGCCGUAAACGAUGUCUACUAGCCGUUGGGGCCUUUGAGGCUUUAGUGGCGCAGCUAACGCGAUAAGUAGACCGCCUGGGGAGUACGGUCGCAAGACUAAAACUCAAAUGAAUUGACGGGGGCCCGCACAAGCGGUGGAGCAUGUGGUUUAAUUCGAUGCAACGCGAAGAACCUUACCUGGUCUUGACAUAGUAAGAACUUUCCAGAGAUGGAUUGGUGCCUUCGGGAACUUACAUACAGGUGCUGCAUGGCUGUCGUCAGCUCGUGUCGUGAGAUGUUGGGUUAAGUCCCGCAACGAGCGCAACCCUUUUCCUUAUUUGCCAGCGGGUUAAGCCGGGAACUUUAAGGAUACUGCCAGUGACAAACUGGAGGAAGGCGGGGACGACGUCAAGUCAUCAUGGCCCUUACGACCAGGGCUACACACGUGCUACAAUGGUCGGUACAAAGGGUUGCUACCUAGCGAUAGGAUGCUAAUCUCAAAAAGCCGAUCGUAGUCCGGAUUGGAGUCUGCAACUCGACUCCAUGAAGUCGGAAUCGCUAGUAAUCGCGGAUCAGAAUGCCGCGGUGAAUACGUUCCCGGGCCUUGUACACACCGCCCGUCACACCAUGGGAAUUUGUUGCACCAGAAGUAGGUAGUCUAACCGCAAGGAGGACGCUACCACGGUGACCCCA
rnacentral:rRNA from 1 species